UACGUAGGGGCCAAGCGUUGUCCGGAUUUAUUGGGCGUAAAGAGCUCGUAGGCGGUUCGGUAAGUCAGCUGUGAAAUCUCCACGCUCAACGUGGAGGGGUCAGCUGAUACUGCCGUGACUUGAGUCUGGUAGGGGAGUGCGGAAUUCCCGGUGUAGCGGUGAAAUGCGCAGAUAUCAGGAAGAACACCCGUGGCGAAAGCGGCUCUCUGGAACGGUACUGACGCUGAGACGCGAAAGCGUGGGGAGCGAACAGG
rnacentral:rRNA from 1 species